ensembl:lncRNA
ACUUAUACGGCAUCAACUAUGAGAAUCUAUGAAAGCGGGAUGUCAAGAUUCAUACAGCGGUUCAGCUGCUGCUGGUGCAGCUAUUGUGAUAUUGAAAUGGGAGUUUUGGAGACAAGACUUAAUCACCUUGAACAGGAUCUUCUUUUCCAUUGAAGGGUACACACUUUCUUUCUCUGGGUGUCGUAACUAUCGCCACCACUCUGUGACGUCACUGCGUCCCCGACGGCCCCACUCUCACACACACACACACACACGCACACACACACACACACACACACACACACAACCCCCUGGCGUCACUGAAACGACUUGUGUGACACCUCGGUGGCUGACACAUCCCAGAAAUCACCCCCCAAUCAACAUGCAUCAAUGAUACAAUAGUUGAAUACACUACACGUCCACUGUUGCCCUCCUGGCUUCUUCCGGGGCUGUUGCAUCGUUGGCUGACAGACCCCCUAUGUUGCACAACAACACAACAAACCAAACCAAGAAACGCCUUCGUAUCAACUCCGUCACGUUGUCCUUUUGGGGAUUUUCUGUGGAUGAAGACUGAGUUCCUGGAUCUUUUGGGUGUUUGUCUGUUCAUGGAAAUGUUUGUCUCUGUGUGUAUUCUAAGAAGCUGCUAUUGCUAAUGAUGGUAUUAUAAAUGAUCUGAAAUGAAAUCUUAAUGAUGACAUGAUAUCUUUUACUGUGGUGGGCACAUUUUCAAUAUGAGAUAAACGCACAUCUGAGAAAUGCAGUUUUUGUAUUAUAGACUGAUCAUUCUUACUGGUCAGCAUUGACUUUGGUGAUGCCGAGUGUGUCAAACAACAACAAGAACAAUCAGGUUUGAGUUCAUGCUAUUGUGUGUUUUGUUUCUGUUUUUUUCUGGUCGUUUUGUGCUUUGGACUAUCAUAAUACUUCACAAUCAGCCACUGAUUGGCUUUUACUUAUAUUUACUUAUAUGUUACUCUGGAUAAGAGCGUCGGCUAAAUGCCUUAAAUGGAUGUCCAUGCUAGCAGUAAAGCCUGUGACACAC